rnacentral:pre_miRNA from 1 species
UAAUUUGCCUGAGGUAGAUUCCUAUCUAGUUGUGACAGAUUCACACCUAACCACUCAAAAUUAUCUAUCUCAAGACCGAUUGCAUCAAUUAUUCAUGUAGAAUUGAAAGUGUUUGUUUUGAUAUAAACACUGAGUUAUGAU